rnacentral:rRNA from 1 species
ACGGGGGAGGAACACGUGGGUAACCUGCCCUUAAGUGGGGGAUAACAUUUGGAAACAGAUGCUAAUACCGCAUAGAUCCAAGAACCGCAUGGUUCUUGGCUGAAAGAUGGCGUAAGCUAUCGCUUUUGGAUGGACCCGCGGCGUAUUAGCUAGUUGGUGAGGUAAUGGCUCACCAAGGCGAUGAUACGUAGCCGAACUGAGAGGUUGAUCGGCCACAUUGGGACUGAGACACGGCCCAAACUCCUACGGGAGGCAGCAGUAGGGAAUCUUCCACAAUGGACGCAAGUCUGAUGGAGCAACGCCGCGUGAGUGAAGAAGGCUUUCGGGUCGUAAAACUCUGUUGUUGGAGAAGAAUGGUCGGCAGAGUAACUGUUGUCGGCGUGACGGUAUCCAACCAGAAAGCCACGGCUAACUACGUGCCAGCAGCCGCGGUAAUACGUAGGUGGCAAGCGUUAUCCGGAUUUAUUGGGCGUAAAGCGAGCGCAGGCGGUUUUUUAAGUCUGAUGUGAAAGCCCUCGGCUUAACCGAGGAAGCGCAUCGGAAACUGGGAAACUUGAGUGCAGAAGAGGACAGUGGAACUCCAUGUGUAGCGGUGAAAUGCGUAGAUAUAUGGAAGAACACCAGUGGCGAAGGCGGCUGUCUGGUCUGUAACUGACGCUGAGGCUCGAAAGCAUGGGUAGCGAACAGGAUUAGAUACCCUGGUAGUUCAUGCCGUAAACGAUGAAUGCUAGGUGUUG